rnacentral:tRNA from 1 species
CCGAGGUAGCAUAAUGGUAGUGCACCAGCUUGUCGAGCUGGGUGGUGAGAGUUCGAGUCUCUUCCUCGGCG